UACGUAGGGUGCAAGCGUUGUCCGGAAUUAUUGGGCGUAAAGAGCUCGUAGGCGGUUUGUCGCGUCUGCUGUGAAAACCUAAGGCUCAACCUUGGGCUUGCAGUGGGUACGGGCAGACUAGAGUGCGGUAGGGGUGACUGGAAUUCCUGGUGUAGCGGUGGAAUGCGCAGAUAUCAGGAGGAACACCGAUGGCGAAGGCAGGUCACUGGGCCGCAACUGAC
rnacentral:rRNA from 1 species